GGAAGAGUGCCCGAGCGGUUUAAGGGAACAGUCUUGAAAACUGUCGUGGGUGAAAGUCCACCGAGAGUUCGAAUCUCUCCUCUUCCU
rnacentral:tRNA from 1 species